CUGGAUUUUACUUUUAUUAACUCUACAUUGGUUUUCUUUGAAAGUCUAGUUAGUCUUUUCUCUUGUGUUUCCAGAUUUUCUAUUAAUUUCUUUUAGCAAAUGUUAAGAUUAGUUCCUGUACUUAAUAAUGUGGGCUGCUUUUUGGGUGAAGUCUUAUUUGCGGGGAAGGUUACAUGCGUUUUUGUGCUCUUCUCCCAAAUAUUUUUCUUUGAAGUCGAUUUGGUUCAUCUUUUAUCGUUCUCUCUCAGUUUCAUGAUUGGCAUUUCAUGCCUGCAGCCCUGCCAGACCUUUCCUUGUUUAUCAAGAGAUCCACUGAUUAUCAUGUUGAGACAAGGUGACAAGUAUAAAAUUUGUCGGAUCCCUUCCAAAAGGCGGGCGCUCGAAGGAAGAUCUUUUUAUUGUGCACUUAGAGCCUGUUUGGAAUUAUGUUGUGAAAUAGAGCUUUUAUAGCCAAAAGAGCUUUUAAGAAAAAGCUCCAUUUUCAAGGUUUUCCUAAAAGUGCGUUUGUGCAUUUUUAAAAUCAAAAAAGUCAAAUAAGUACUUUUAGAGUUUUUUACCAAACAAACAUAUUUUUGCUGUGCACAACUUUCUAUGUGCUAAAAGUACUUUUAAGUUUCUUAACGCAAUCCCAAACAGGCCCUUAGCUCUCAUACUAGCUCUUUCUUUCCUUGGAAGAGCACUGGAAAAAUGAGGCUCCUUAGAGAGUGGUGUUCUUUGUGUAUACAGCAGCAUGAGGGAAGAUUUUGACUGUGGAUAACUUGAGAGGCACGUCAUAUUGCUGGAUUGGUGCUACAUGUGCAAGAAGGGCGGGAAAUCUAUUGAUCAUCUACUUCUUCACUGCGAAGGGGCUAGAGAUUUGUGGGUUUUGGUUUUCUGUCUUUUUGGGAUGGACACUGGUCAUGCCCUAAAAGGGUGGUGGAGUUUUUGGCUGGUUGGAGAGAUCAAUUUGGCAGCCACUGCAAAAUGGAAGUCUGGAAGAUGGUUCCCUUGUGCUUAAUGUGAUGUAUUUGAAGAGAACACAAUGCUUGAAAUUUUGGAGAUUGUGUGAAGACGAUGAUAAAGUUAAAAGCUAUUAUAUUUAAAUUUCUUUUAUAUUUGGA